CGCGGGGUGGAGCAGCGGUAGCUCGUUGGGCUCAUAACCCAAAGGUCGGAGGUUCAAAUCCUUCCCCCGCUACCA
rnacentral:tRNA from 1 species